CCCAGGCUUGUGUGCCUCAUCCAGUGUCAGGGACACUGGUGAUUGGUUGCCCUAUGUUUAUGAACUGAGACCUAGUUCUUAACCAAGUUACAAGAGGCCUGUCCUGAUAUUUGCCUGGCCCUCUCACAUAACUCCAGCUCAGGGGAUCAGAUUCCCUCUUCUGACUUCUAAGGAAGCCAGGCACAUGCAUAUGGUAAUAGACAUACAUGUGGGCAAAGCUCUCACAUGUAAAAUAAAAUAACUUUUUAAAAGUUUCACACAAGUGCUCAUAAGUGUGUUCACAGCACCAAACCAACCUGAAUAUUCACUGACUGCUACAAAUAUAUAUGCAUAUAUAUAUAUAUAUAUAUAUAUAUAUAUAUAUAUCAGGGAGUGAUGCAUGGGUGACACUCUGAAUCAUCAGUGACCUUGAAGACAUGGUGCUAUGUGGAUUAAGACAGGAAACAACACAUACCUCGCAUGAGUCCAUGUCGAUGAAAUGUCCAGCACAGACAAACAGAUAUAGAGAGCAGAUGGGUCCUGGCUAGAGACUAGAAGGCAGAGGGUUCUGGCUAGGGACUAGAAGGCAGUGAGGUAAUGGUGAGUGACUGACUGUGCACAGUUUUCUUGUGGAGUAUUGAAAUCAUCCUGGAAAAAGACAGCAUUGAUGGUUUAUGAUCUUAUAGACACAUUUGAUGAUACCACUAAGCUACACACUGAAAUUGACUCAAAUAUGUUUCAUGUAUAUUUUAUAUAAUAAAAAUGGAAAGUAUCAAUUCACUAAGAUGGAGCCUGUGAUUUUAGUUUCAUUUGUUUGUUUAUUUUUGAAAGUCUUAUAGAAUAGUCUAGGCUGGCUUCAAACUCAAGAACCUCCUUUCUGUGACGUUAAUGAAGUUUGUUUGUUUUAAUUUGGGACAAGGUCUUACUGUGUAGCCCGGAAUGACCUGGACCUUGUUCUAUAGACAAGCCUGGAGUUGAACUGAGAUCUGCCUGCUUCUGUCUUCCAAGAGCUGAAAUUAAAGGCCAUCACUUCCCUUUUGGCAAUGAUUGCAACCCAAACCAGGAAAGAGAAGCUGAAUUUGGGGAAACAAACAUCUGUUUUCAGGAAGUACUCGUGGAAAAGGACCCAGCCAUCUGCAGACCAUCGCUAUCAAGAUGGCAGGAGUUCCCAUGACAGCUUCUUGUUGAAAAGGACCUUUCAAGUCACAGGCUGCUUGUGCUCAACUGAUAAAAGUAUGUCUUGUAAUCCAUCCGGAUGAACAAUGCUGGCCCAAGUCUUCGAUGGUUGGAGUUCAUUGGAGUAGCAUACAAAUGUCGUGAGGACUUCUGAGACCCAGCCACGUUCUCAGGUUACCCCAAAGGCAACCAAACCACUGAAGUUACCCAUCGCUGCUGACUCCACAGGUCAUGUUCUUCCCAGUGUUAGUGGACCUAAAUACAAACAUGGAUGCAAGGAAAUGGAUCUGAAUCACUCAAGCUGGAGAAAGCACGGCUUACCGUGGGAACAGAAUCAAUUACCCUGGCUUGGAUUUUGAGCUAAAGGUUGAUGAUCUUUAGGACUUUUAUCGUAGCACCAGAAGGCUGGUCAACACAUAAAUAUUGGCUUCUGUCAUCAUUUUCAUCAUUCUCUCCCUCAUUUCUGAAAGAAAAGUCUUCUAAACGUUAUUGCCACUACCAGUUUUGCUGAAAAAAGAGGCUUCCUCUUCAGGGAAUAGCAGUCACUACAGAGGGCCAUCACUGGUGACUGUGAUGAGGAUACAGUCAAAUCUCUGCUACAAACUGACAUCGACCUCACAUGCUACCCACUAAGGUUCUAGGGCUGUCUACAAGGAAGUGUCAUAAAGAAUUCAAGUCAGAGGAGUAGUGUGGAAGGCUGACUGCAGGAAAAUAUGAAGCACGAACAGCCCUGAACUCAUUCAUGACAGCUGCGAUCACCUGCACAAGAGCUUUGGACCAGAAAAUAACCUGUCAUGGAGCACAAGGCGCUCACGAGGCCCUCCCCCUACUUCCUGAGGACUUAGACUCAGUUAAUGGGUGGUGUGGGGGGACACUGGGUAAACAGCCCUCACUCCUCCUGUAAGCAGCCCUAAUGUAACUCAUCCAAGAAACAAGAGACAUGAAAGUUCUAAAGGAAUGAGUUGGGAAAGGGAAGGAAGUAAGUGGAACCAAGAAUAAGAAAGAAUAGGAGAGGGUAACUGAGAGCAAAUAUGUUCAAAAUACAUUGCAUACAUAUAUGAAAAUUUCAUAAUGAAACCCAUUAUAUAAAAUUAAUAUUACCAGUUAAAAACAAGACAAAGUUAAUAACUACGCACUGUAGCUAAUAAUGGGAAAAAAUUCCACAGGAGAAAGAAAGUGCAGUUUCUGAGAAAAACGAUUGAAUGCAUAUAUUAAUGGAAGAGCAGAAUUCCUCAGCUACUCAUCACUGUGUGUCUGAGAGUCGUUGAGUUUGAAUUUUGCAGGCCUGGUAUUUGCUCUUUAAUAUGAGAACACAGGCAAAGGAAGAUGACUCCAUGGGUGUCUUUGUUUGCUUUCUGUUGCUGUGAUAAAACAAGGGGAGGAGAAAGUUUAUUCGGCGUACUCAUCUCAAUUACGGUCCAUCAUGAAGGGAGGUCAGCACAGACACUAAGGAAGGAGCCUGGAGGCAGGAACUGUUGCAGAGACCUGGAACGGAUGUUUGUUUGCUUGAUCCCCAUUGGCUUGUUCAGCUUGCUUUCUUAUGCAAUUCAGAACCACCUGCCUGAGAGUGCUGUUGCCUGUUAUGGGUUGGGCCCUCCCAUGCCAAUCAUCGAUGGAGAAAAUGUCCUAUACACUGACCUGCGUGCCAGUCUGAUGGAGGGGUUUUCUCUAUUGAGGUUCCCUCUUUCACACAGCUCUAGUGUGUGUCAAGUUGACAAAAAAAAUUAACCACAACAAUGGGUAAAGACAGUUGCCACUAAAACUGACAACACGAGUUCAAGGCCCAGAAUCCAUGUGACAGAAUGAGAGAACUGAUUUACACAAAUAGUCCUCUGACUUCCACAUGUACACGGUGGCAGACAAGCCUGUCUGUGGGUGCACACACAAAAAUAAAAUGUAAUAAUUUUUUUUAAGAAAGAA